rnacentral:rRNA from 1 species
AGGACGAACGCUGGCGGCGUGCUUAACACAUGCAAGUCGAGCGGUAAGGCCCUUUGGGGUACACGAGCGGCGAACGGGUGAGUAACACGUGGGUGACCUGCCCCCUACUCUGGGAUAAGCCUGGGAAACUGGGUCUAAUACCGGAUAUGACUACAUGUCGCAUGGUGUGUGGUGGAAAGUUUUUUCGGUGGGGGAUGGGCCCGCGGCCUAUCAGCUUGUUGGUGGGGUGAUGGCCUACAAGGCGACGACGGGUA